UACGUAGGGGGCAAGCGUUAUCCGGAUUUACUGGGUGUAAAGGGAGCGUAGACGGCGGUGCAAGCCAGAUGUGAAAGCCCGGGGCUCAACCCCGGGACUGCAUUUGGAACUGUAUGGCUGGAGUGUCGGAGAGGCAGGCGGAAUUCCUAGUGUAGCGGUGAAAUGCUUAGAUAUCACGAAGAACUCCGAUUGCGAAGGCAGCUUACCAGUCUGCGACUGACGCUCAGGCACGAAAGUGUGGGUAUCGAACAGG
rnacentral:rRNA from 1 species